CUAACACAUGCAAGUCGAACGGUAACGAAAGGCGGAGCUUGCUUCUUUGCUGACGAGUGGCGGACGGGUGAGUAAUGUCUGGGAAACUGCCUGAUGGAGGGGGAUAACUACUGGAAACGGUAGCUAAGCAGUGACGUCGCAAGACCAAAGAGCUGCCACCUUCGGGCCUCUUGCCAGACGUCCCAGAUGGGAUUAGCUAGUAGGUGGGGCUCAUUGUCACUACAGCGACGAUCCCUAGCUGGUCUGAGAGGAUGACCAGCCAUACAGCGAACUGAGACACGGUCCAGACUCCUCGGAAGCAGCAGUGGGGAAUAUUGCACAAUGGGCGCAAGAAAGCCGCAGCCAUGCCGCGUGUAUGAAGAAGGCCUUCGGGUUGGAAAGCCUACUUUCAGCGGGGAGGAAGGGAGUAAAGUUAAUACCUUUGCUCAUUGACGUUACCCGCAGAAGAAAGCCCACCG
rnacentral:rRNA from 1 species